GACAGAGGGUGCAAACGUUGCUCGGAAUUACUGGGCGUAAGGGGCGUGUAGGCGGGAAGGCAAGUCGGGCGUGAAAGCCCCAGGCUCAACCUGGGAACUGCACUCGAAACUGCCUUUCUUGAGUGCCGGAGAGGAAAGCGGAAUUCCUGGUGUAGAGGUGAAAUUCGUAGAUAUCAGGAGGAACACCAGUGGCGAAGGCGGCUUUCUGGACGGUAACUGACGCUGAGACGCGAAAGCGUGGGGAGCAAACAGG
rnacentral:rRNA from 1 species